rnacentral:tRNA from 1 species
GCCGGGGUGGUGGAACUCGGUAGACACACGGGGCUUAAAACUCCGUGGGGGUUCUCCCCCGUGCGGGUUCGAGUCCCGCCCCCGGCA